rnacentral:rRNA from 1 species
CGUGCCUAAUACAUGCAAGUCGAGCGAACGGACGAGAAGCUUGCUUCUCUGAUGUUAGCGGCGGACGGGUGAGUAACACGUGGAUAACCUACCUAUAAGACUGGGAUAACUUCGGGAAACCGUAGCUAAUACCGGAUAAUAUUUUGAACCGCAUGGUUCAAAAGUGAAAGACGGUCUUGCUGUCACUUAUAGAUGGAUCCGCGCUGCAUUAGCUAGUUGGUAAGGUAACGGCUUACCAAGGCAACGAUGCAUAGCCGACCUGAGAGGGUGAUCGGCCACACUGGAACUGAGACACGGUCCAGACUCCUACGGGAGGCAGCAGUAGGGAAUCUUCCGCAAUGGGCGAAAGCCUGACGGAGCAACGCCGCGUGAGUGAUGAAGGUCUUCGGAUCGUAAAACUCUGUUAUUAGGGAAGAACAUAUGUGUAAGUAACUGUGCACAUCUUGACGGUACCUAAUCAGAAAGCCACGGCUAACUACGUGCCAGCAGCCGCGGUAAUACGUAGGUGGCAAGCGUUAUCCGGAAUUAUUGGGCGUAAAGCGCGCGUAGGCGGUUUUUUAAGUCUGAUGUGAAAGCCCACGGCUCAACCGUGGAGGGUCAUUGGAAACUGGAAAACUUGAGUGCAGAAGAGGAAAGUGGAAUUCCAUGUGUAGCGGUGAAAUGCGCAGAGAUAUGGAGGAACACCAGUGGCGAAGGCGACUUUCUGGUCUGUAACUGACGCUGAUGUGCGAAAGCGUGGGGAUCAAACAGGAUUAGAUACCCUGGUAGUCCACGCCGUAAACGAUGAGUGCUAAGUGUUAGGGGGUUUCCGCCCCUUAGUGCUGCAGCUAACGCAUUAAGCACUCCGCCUGGGGAGUACGACCGCAAGGUUGAAACUCAAAGGAAUUGACGGGGACCCGCACAAGCGGUGGAGCAUGUGGUUUAAUUCGAAGCAACGCGAAGAACCUUACCAAAUCUUGACAUCCUUUGACAACUCUAGAGAUAGAGCUUUCCCCUUCGGGGGACAAAGUGACAGGUGGUGCAUGGUUGUCGUCAGCUCGUGUCGUGAGAUGUUGGGUUAAGUCCCGCAACGAGCGCAACCCUUAAGCUUAGUUGCCAUCAUUAAGUUGGGCACUCUAAGUUGACUGCCGGUGACAAACCGGAGGAAGGUGGGGAUGACGUCAAAUCAUCAUGCCCCUUAUGAUUUGGGCUACACACGUGCUACAAUGGACAAUACAAAGGGCAGCGAAACCGCGAGGUCAAGCAAAUCCCAUAAAGUUGUUCUCAGUUCGGAUUGUAGUCUGCAACUCGACUACAUGAAGCUGGAAUCGCUAGUAAUCGUAGAUCAGCAUGCUACGGUGAAUACGUUCCCGGGUCUUGUACACACCGCCCGUCACACCACGAGAGUUUGUAACACCCGAAGCCGGUGGAGUAACCUUUUAGGAGCUAGCCGUC